rnacentral:lncRNA from 1 species
AAAAAUAUGGGUGCCAUGAGAAUACAUAAAAAGGGCCUCAAAUGAGAAUAGGUUGAAGGGUAGAGAUAGCUCAGCUAAGAUCAAAACGAUAGAUGGAUGAAAGAAGAUGAUGAUGCAACUGUAUGUUGAAAAAACAAGUACAAGGAACUAAAAUGAGAAAGAGCAUGGCCUACUCAAAGAACUCUGCACUGUAGACCAACCGGAGUUGACCUUGUUGCUACUACCCCACAAAGGAAUAUCAGCUGAAUGUCAGAAGAGAACAGCUUUUUCUAACCUGUACCAUCGGUCU